GCAAGUCGGACGGUAACAGGCGAGUGCUUGCACUUGCGCUGACGAGUGGCGGACGGGUGAGUAAUGAAUAGGAAUCUGUCCUUUCGAGGGGGAUAGCUCUGGGAAACUAGAGGUAAUACAGAGUACAACCUACGGAUUAAAAGUGGCGCAAGCUUCCGCGAAAGGGUGAGCCUAUGUUAGAUUAGCUAGAUGUUGAGGUAAAAGCUCACCAUGGCUACGAUCUAUAGCUGUUCUGAGAGGAAGAUC
rnacentral:rRNA from 1 species